rnacentral:misc_RNA from 1 species
CUCCGUUUCACAAUGUAAGUCAUUCUAGCAUUUCCCACAUUCAUAUUGAUGUUAAUGAAUCUAGACAUAUAUAUCUAUCUAGAUUCAUUAACAUCAAUAUGAAUGUGGGAAAUGCUAGAAUGACUUGCAUUGUGAAACGG